rnacentral:lncRNA from 1 species
CUUUACUCACUUAUUCUCUGAGCUUUGUAUGGACUAGCACUGUUCCCACCCAGGGUAGAUACUCAACAAGUGGCUGAUACUAAUUAACAUUAACUAAUUAAUAUUAACAUAUUAACCAGGCUCCAUCUCAACAAGGUCAAACUUAGAAGGUGGGAAUGUGAUUUGAGGUUUCCCAGAAAACUGCUGACCCCAAAACAUACCUCACCUGCCACGAGACAAGGCCCAGGUCCCGUUGAUUACGCAUUUGGUUUAGGUUGAGGUUAUAGAACAUGGACACGUGAUCGUGAGAGAACCAGAGGAAUGCUGGGCAUUUCCCAGAGAUCUUGAACUAGGAGCUGCAUGCAUGAAUUGAUGCAGCUCUGGGUUUCCUCAUUUUGGGGAAAAGGAUUUUGUAUUUUAUAAGCAAAGCAAGAAGUUUAUAAAAGAAGAAGACAU